rnacentral:rRNA from 2 species
AGAAUUUGAUCUUGGUUCAGAUUGAACGCUGGCGGCGUGGAUGAGGCAUGCAAGUCGAACGGAAUAAUGACUUCGGUUGUUAUUUAGUGGCGGAAGGGUUAGUAAUACAUAGAUAAUCUGUCCUCAACUUGGGAAUAACGGUUGGAAACGACCGCUAAUACCGAAUGUGGUAUGUUUAGGCAUCUAAAACAUAUUAAAGAAGGGGAUCUUCGGACCUUUCGGUUGAGGGAGAGUCUAUGGGAUAUCAGCUUGUUGGUGGGGUAAUGGCCUACCAAGGCUUUGACGUCUAGGCGGAUUGAGAGAUUGACCGCCAACACUGGGACUGAGACACUGCCCAGACUUCUACGGAAGGCUGCAGUCGAGAAUCUUUCGCAAUGGACGAAAGUCUGACGAAGCGACGCCGCGUGUGUGAUGAAGGCUCUAGGGUUGUAAAGCACUUUCGCUUGGGAAUAAGAGAGAUUGGCUAAUAUCCAAUCGAUUUGAGCGUACCAGGUAAAGAAGCACCGGCUAACUCCGUGCCAGCAGCUGCGGUAAUACGGAGGGUGCUAGCGUUAAUCGGAUUUAUUGGGCGUAAAGGGCGUGUAGGCGGAAAGGAAAGUUAGAUGUUAAAUCUUGGGGCUCAACCCCAAGCCAGCAUCUAAUACUAUCUUUCUAGAGGGUAGAUGGAGAAAAGGGAAUUCCACGUGUAGCGGUGAAAUGCGUAGAUAUGUGGAAGAACACCAGUGGCGAAGGCGCUUUUCUAAUUUACACCUGACGCUAAGGCGCGAAAGCAAGGGGAGCAAACAGGAUUAGAUACCCUGGUAGUCCUUGCCGUAAACGAUGCAUACUUGAUGUGGAUAGUCUCAACCCUAUCCGUGUCGUAGCUAACGCGUUAAGUAUGCCGCCUGAGGAGUACACUCGCAAGGGUGAAACUCAAAAGAAUUGACGGGGGCCCGCACAAGCAGUGGAGCAUGUGGUUUAAUUCGAUGCAACGCGAAGAACCUUACCUGGGCUUGACAUGUAUUUGACCGCGGCAGAAAUGUCGUUUUCCGCAAGGACAGAUACACAGGUGCUGCAUGGCUGUCGUCAGCUCGUGCCGUGAGGUGUUGGGUUAAGUCCCGCAACGAGCGCAACCCUUAUCGUUAGUUGCCAACACUUAGGGUGGGAACUCUAACGAGACUGCCUGGGUUAACCAGGAGGAAGGCGAGGAUGACGUCAAGUCAGCAUGGCCCUUAUGCCCAGGGCUACACACGUGCUACAAUGGCCAGUACAGAAGGUAGCAAUAUCGUGAGAUGGAGCAAAUCCUCAAAGCUGGCCCCAGUUCGGAUUGUAGUCUGCAACUCGACUACAUGAAGUCGGAAUUGCUAGUAAUGGCGUGUCAGCUAUAACGCCGUGAAUACGUUCCCGGGCCUUGUACACACCGCCCGUCACAUCAUGGGAGUUGGUUUUGCCUUAAGUCGUUGACUCAACCUGCAAAGGAGAGAGGCGCCCAAGGUGAGGCUGAUGACUGGGAUGAAGUCGUAACAAG